AAGUCGUAACAAGGUUUCCGUAGGUGAACCUGCGGAAGGAUCAUUAACACUUUUAAUAUGAAGAUUAAAUACUUCAAACUAACGUGAACUUAAAACAAUCGCCCUAUAAUUAAUACUUAUAGGCAAUGAGAAUAGUAAUAAUUCAAUUUGGAUUGCAUUGUGUUGCAUUGCAUUACCAUUGCAAUUAUUACUGUUCGAUCCAUAUUUUUACACCAUUAUAAUCCACAUUGCAGUUGACUUGUAAUUCUGUAUAUAGCUGUUAUAUAUUUAUAUAAAGGCUAUAUAUAAUGUUAAUAUAAUAAACAUAAAUACAAAAACAACUCUUAACAAUGGAUAUCUUGGUUCUCGU
rnacentral:misc_RNA from 1 species